UACGUAGGGUGCGAGCGUUGUCCGGAAUUACUGGGCGUAAAGAGCUCGUAGGUGGUUUGUCGCGUUGUUCGGGAAAACUCACAGCUUAACUGUGGGCGUGCGGGCGAUACGGGCAGACUGGAGUACUGCAGGGGAGACUGGAAUUCCUGGUGUAGCGGUGGAAUGCGCAGAUAUCAGGAGGAACACCGGUGGCGAAGGCGGGUCUCUGGGCAGUAACUGACGCUGAGACGCGAAAGCGUGGGGAGCGAACAGG
rnacentral:rRNA from 1 species